UACGAAGGGGGCUAGCGUUGCUCGGAAUCACUGGGCGUAAAGGGCUCGUAGGUGGCCAACUAAGUCGGACGUGAAAUCCCUCAGCUUAACUGGGGAACUGCGUCCGAUACUGGAUGGCUUGAGUAUGGGAGAGGGAGGUGGAAUUUCCGGUGUAGCGGUGAAAUGCGUAGAUAUCGGAAGGAACAUCAGUGGCGAAAGCGACCUCCUGGACCAAUACUGACACUCAAGUGCGAAAGCGUGGGGAGCAAACAGG
rnacentral:rRNA from 1 species